AGUAAAACAGUACGUGAAAUUGUUGAAAGGGAAACGCUUGAAGUCAGUCGUGCCGGCGUUGGAUUCAGCUUGCUUCGCGGAGCAGGCGCAUUUCCGCGCAUGGCAGGUCAGCGUCAGUUUUGCGCGGCGUGAAAAGGCUCGGGUAAGGUAGCUCUCUUCGGGGAGUGUUAUAGACCUGGGCAGAUGCGCUGCGCGGGACUGAGGAUUGCAGCGGACACCCCCUCGGGGGCGCGGCGACCGAACCCUGCUCGGCCACCCUCGUUCGAUAGCGUGCUAGCGGACGCGGGAGCGGCAGUGCACCGGAACAGGCAAGCCAGCGGUUCGCUAAGGAUGCUGACGUAAUGGCUUUAAA
rnacentral:misc_RNA from 1 species